GACGUAGGGCGCGAGCGUUGUUCGGAUUUAUUGGGCGUAAAGCGCACGUAGGCGGCUUUGUAAGUUGGAUGUGAAAUCCCUCGGCUCAACCAAGGAAGUGCAUCCAAAACUGCGGAGCUUGAGUACUUAAGAGGAUCGCGGAAUUCCCGGUGUAGAGGUGAAAUUCGUAGAUAUCGGGAGGAACACCAGUGGCGAAGGCGGCGAUCUGGGAAGAUACUGACGCUGAGGUGCGAAAGCGUGGGGAGCAAACAGG
rnacentral:rRNA from 1 species